rnacentral:rRNA from 1 species
AUUGACCUCGGAUCAGGUAGGGAUACCCGCUGAACUUAAGCAUAUCAAUAAGCGGAGGACAAGAAACCAACGGGGAUUGCCUCAGUAACGGCGAGUGAAGCGGCAACAGCUCAAAGUUGAAAUCUGGCCUUUCCGGGGUCCGAGUUGUAAUUUGUAGAGAGUGCUUCGGGGGAGGUCGCGGUCUAAGUCCACUGGAACGUGGCGUCUUAGAGGGUGAGAAUCCCGUAUGUGACUGCGGAUCAACCCCAUGUGAAGUCUCUUCGACGAGUCGAGUUGUUUGGGAAUGCAGCUCAAAUCGGGUGGUAAAUUUCAUCUAAAGCUAAAUACUGGCUGGAGACCGAUAGCGCACAAGUAGAGUGAUCGAAAGAUGAAAAGCACUUUGGAAAGAGAGUCAAAAAGUACGUGAAAUUGUUGAAA